CAGUUCACACGGCAGAGCGGGAUGGACCGGUCACGAUCUAUCAUGUACCUGAAGGUAGCUGACAACAACCGGGCAGACACCCACCUUGCCUUCUUCAGUGAAGCUGUGAAUGAGCAUGGCUUUCCUCUGAGGAGAUCAUGGCGGAGAAAAUGUAGGUGUUGCAGAAUUAAUGUUCUCAGUUCGUGGAACUGACACCAACAGCUUCAUUGCAGGAAAAAGUGUACACAAUCAACGGUGAGUUUAACCUAAUUUGGAAGCUUUGUGUCUGUGCGCGCGUGCCUGUGCCUGUUGACCUGCCCAGGGUGUACCCUUCGUCUCACACUUUGACUGCUAGAGAUAGGCACCAGUCCCCCUGCGACCAUUCAAGAGAUAACUCAAGUUGAAAACGGAUGUAUGGACAUGUAAAUGUGUGUGUAUAUUAUAAUUUUCUUUUAUUUAAUCCCCCUCCAAAUCCAGGAUCGAGCGCCUGUGGCGUGAUGUCUUCAUGAGUGUUACUGGUCUAUAUUACAACAUCCUGCACUCUCUGGAAGACCAAGACUUGCUCGACAUCAGUAACAUCCUUCACCUGUUUUGUUGCCACUAUAUUUUCUUGUCUCGCAUCCAGGCCAGCCUGGAUGUCUUUAGAGAUGCGUGGGACAACCAUCCAAUCAGGACAGAGGAAAACAUGACACCAAAUCAGCUGUGGCAUCUGGGCCAGGCUCUGAAUCCUGUUUCUGAUC